rnacentral:rRNA from 1 species
CGGCAGCACGGAGCUUGCUCUGGUGGCGAGUGGCGAACGGGUGAGUAAUAUGUCGGAACGUACCCUAGAGUGGGGGAUAACGUAUCGAAAGUUACGCUAAUACCGCAUACGAUCUAAGGAUGAAAGUGGGGGAUCGCAAGACCUCAUGCUCGUGGAGCGGCCGAUAUCUGAUUAGCUAGUUGGUAGGGUAAAAGCCUACCAAGGCAUCGAUCAGUAGCUGGUCUGAGAGGACGACCAGCCACACUGGAACUGAGACACGGUCCAGACUCCUACGGGAGGCAGCAGUGGGGAAUUUUGGACAAUGGGCGAAAGCCUGAUCCAGCAAUGCCGCGUGAGUGAAGAAGGCCUUCGGGUUGUAAAGCUCUUUUGUCAGGGAAGAAACGGUGAGAGCUAAUAUCUCUUGCUAAUGACGGUACCUGAAGAAUAAGCACCGGCUAACUACGUGUCUGCACCCGCGGUAAUACGUAGGGUGCAAGCGUUAAUCGGAAUUACUGGGCGUAAAGCGUGCGCAGGCGGUUUUGUAAGUCUGAUGUGAAAUCCCCGGG